AAGGAGGCGGGCGGGCAGGGGGAGGUUGUGCCGUCACGUGUCGGGAGGCGGGCACGCCAAAUAAAAUUUGCGAAAGGUAGACUUGAAAUAAGAGGAAGAGAUGCACCCACGAGCUAGGGACCCGCUCCGUGCAACAGGGGCCAGGAGUCGGGAGGGGGGCCGAGGGCGGACGGAGCGAACCAGCGGGCGGGCCGGCGGGCAGCCGACGGGCCACAGUGCCAGCCAAGCUCGUCGGCUCCCACGGCGUCGCCCUGCGGAGUCGACCCGCCUUGUUAGUGGCUCCGAAGGCGCCCGAGGUGCCUGCUUUCUGCCUGACGGGCUAUGGUGAGCGGGGGGCCGGAAGAAGUCGGGGGAAAGGGGAUGGGGUACAAGGAGGAGGUGGAGGAGCAGCCCGACCUGCUGCAAGAGGUGAAGCCUGAGUUCGCCGAAGCGACGGCCCCCAACGGAGGGGUGCCCGAGGUGCGCCCCGGGGUGCCCGAGGUGCGCCUGACUUGGCGCCGCUGGGUGAUCGUCUUCGUCUUCAGCUCCUAUUCCUUCUGCAACGCUUUCCAGUGGAUCCAGUACGGCAGCAUCAACUCCAUCUUCACCAAGUUCUACGCCUUGACCCCGCUGGCCAUCGACUGGCUCUCCAUGUGCUACAUGAUCGUCUACAUCCCGCUCCUUUUCCCCGUCGCCUGGCUGCUGGACAAGAAGGGGCUGCGCCUCAUUGCCCUGGCCGGUUCCGCUCUCAAUUGCCUGGGCGCCUGGGUGAAGACGGGCAGCAUGAAGCCUCACCUCUUUCCCGUGACGGUCCUGGGUCAGAUCAUCUGCUCCCUGGCUCAAGUCUUCAUCCUGGGCAUGCCCAGCCGGAUUGCUUCCGUCUGGUUCGGAGCCCGGGAGGUUUCCAGCGCUUGUUCCAUUGCCGUCUUUGGGAAUCAGCUUGGUAUUGCGGUUGGUUUCCUCCUCCCACCAGUUCUGGUUCCAAAUUCAGAAGAUAAAGAGAAGCUGGCCCAUCAUAUUGGCAUCAUGUUUUUCAUGACAGCAGGUGUAGCAACAGCACUUUUCCUCUUAGUAAUCUUUGUGUUCCAAGAAAAGCCUCCAUAUCCUCCAAGUCGGGCUCAGGCCAUGAUUCAUACAACAGCACCUGAAGAGUAUUCCUAUACGAAAUCUAUUGUUCGGCUGUUUCGCAAUGUCAACUUUGACCUGCUGAUAGUCAGUUAUGGCUUGAACACAGGCUGCUUCUAUGCACUCUCAACAAUGCUGAACCGCAUGGUGGUGAUAAACUAUCCAGGAGAAGAGCAGAAUGCUGGCAGAAUCGGGCUCACCAUUGUAGUGGCAGGCAUGGUCGGAGCGUUGAUCACUGGCCUUUGGUUGGACAGAACCAAAACCUAUAAGCAGACAACGCUGUUGGUUUACAUCAUGUCAUUUGUAGGCAUGGUGAUCUAUACUUUUACUCUGAACCUAGGCUAUCUCUGGGUGGUUUUUGUGACCGCAGGUGUCCUGGGUUUUUUCAUGACAGGGUACCUGCCACUGGGCUUUGAACUUGCAGCAGAAUUAACAUAUCCGGAAUCUGAAGGGACAUCAUCUGGUCUCCUUAAUGUAUCUGCCCAGGUUUCAUCAAGCCUGAUCUUCGGAGACAGCGGGCCAAUUUGGAUAAUGAACAGACUAAGAAAUUGGAUGAAGUUCCUCAAAACCAGCUCAAUACCAUUGUGUGAGGAAUCUGAAGGAGGUGAUGGGAGAGUUCUCAUCUCUACUAUCUUCCACCUUCCAUCAGCAAGCAAGAGCAAUCGGGGAAGCUGCUUAUGCAGCUAAGGAAAGAAAAGCACAGGACUCAAGAGUCACCCUCAUGUGAACCAGCUUCUUUUGUUCUCUGCUGCUCAGCAGAAAGAAACUGAAGCCAACAGCUGUCUCAUUAUGGCAGUGGCAGCCAAAUCACUGAACACAGCAUUACUUCCAGUGCAUUCAGAAUGGACUGAGAACGACCAUUUGUCUAUCCAUUUAACCAUUCAAUAGAUCGGCAGGAUGGGAUAUGAAAUGGAUCCAAAGGAAGAUCCUUGCUCCUCAGGGAGAACCAAUUAUUUGCUUUGUGAGCAGCCCUAACUGGAGUAAAAUUCUUGAUUUGCAUAUGGGAAACUUAACCUAUCAAGAGAUAAAUAGGCCAAAAGUGGUUGAGGCUUCCUCCUCUUUAAAACUUCCCAGUUUUAACUCCACUCCAACACAUUCAAAAGAAAAAGAUAAUGAGCCAUCAUUUUGAAAUGGAAACACUCUCUUUUAACAGAUCAUGGUCAUAUUCUAGAAAUGUUAAAGUGCAACUGAUUGUUAAAAAGGAUUUGACAAGCACAGCCUGCCUUGCAUUUUCCCCUCACUUUAGGUCUUCUUAGCACUGCUGUGGUGUUGCUUUUCCACAACCAGAUGGAUGCACAAACAAAAUAUGUUUCAAAUGGUGCUUAAUAUAGCUUAUUACCCUGUAAUCUUUUUCCCCAGGGCCAAGUGCCUUCUCUAAUGUUUACUCCAAGUUCCUUGGAACAUUAUUGGAGUGACCAAGGCAACUUCUGCGGCUACGGGAGCCAGUAACUUCCACGACUGGUUUCCCAAGUUUUUCCUCUAGAAGGAAUAAUGCUAUUUUGGUAUCAAAUAAUAAUAGUAAUAAUAAAAAUAACAGAAGGAAAGUCCUUAUUCAAGCAUUCCCCAAGACUGUUUAAGAGGCAGUUCAUCACAGUUGCCUCAGCUGUGCUGAAUAGGAAGAAGGAGCACUUUGAGGAGGAGGUUUCAAUUAAAAGCACAAUAUUAUUUACAAAUCUUGGUAGUACUGUACUUUUGACAGUCUGUACUAGAAAGGGUGGCAGUACAGAUAUGCUGUAUUGUAAGGAAAAAAAAUGCCACGAACGAGGUGUGAAGAAUCACAGGACCAUAAAAUGUAACAAUUUGGUGGAUAUUUUUUUAAAAAAUUCUCAGUCAAAUAUGAGUAAAUAAUCAAGGUUGUUGGUUUGUAAGAAGAUGGCCAGUUUGAAAGUGAAUAUACAGUGGCCUACAGGGAUUGCUUUGCUGUUGGGGAGGAAAAAUGCAGCUUAAUUUUGUGAAGAAAGGUGAACCUUGUGUGGUUUGCAGUGCUCAUGUUACUACAACAAUGCAGUCAUAGCCAGCCAUACACCAGGAUGGCAAAUGAGAAAUCUGAAGAGUGAAGAAUGCCAUUUUCCAAUCAAAGUAAGGAGAGCUGUGCCAGUUCCACUCAUUUGAGUGAGGUGUGCAAACUCCAUUCAAUCCUAGUACCGCUUGCCACUUUUAUUGUAUGUUCGGAAAUGGCAGAGUAGUCUUGUGGCAGCCUUACAUAACUGCAGAGAAUUGGAAACUGAUUUAUGAGCUCUUUGGCCUCCACUAUGUAGCACUUUAUUUGUGAAAAGGUCUGUGUAGCUAUCCAGGUGUUGCAGUUAAAGUAGUCUUGUGGGCCUUAAAAAUUAGCACCUUUUAUUAUGGCACAAAGGGCACACUGACCAUUGGAAGUGGGAUGUGCCCUGCAAAAUUUGUGCCAUAACAAUAUUGACCAAAAUUAAAUAAUGGAUAAAUAACUGAUAAAGAAUCCCAUUCUGUGGCAAAUGCAAUUACUGUCCUUCUUCAUAUGGUGAGCACUUAAUUCCCCAUCCCACUCCUGUACCAAAAAAACAAAACAAAAAAACAACAACCCAGCAAUAACAACAAACCAGGAAGCCCAAUCCUUCUCUUAUAGGUCUUAUUUAAACAA